rnacentral:misc_RNA from 1 species
GAUGAAGAACGUAGUGAAAUGCGAUAAGUAAUGUGAAUUGCAGAAUUCAGUGAAUCAUCGAAUCUUUGAACGCACAUUGCGCCCCCUGGUAUUCCGGGGGGCAUGCCUGUUCGAGCGUCAUUACAACCCUCAAGCUCUGCUUGGUAUUGGGCCCCGCCAGUUCUGGCGGGCCCUAAAGUCAGUGGCGGUGCCUUCCGGCUCCGAGCGUAGUAAUUCUUCUCGCUCUGGAGACCCGGUUGUGUGCUUGCCAACAACCCCCAAUUUUUUAAGGUUGACCUCGGAUCAGGUAGGGAUACCCGCUGAACUUAAGCAUAUCAAUAGCGGAGGA